UGCCUUGGUGUUUUUGCUAUUGACCCGAGAGAUGAAAAAAGAAAAAAAAUGUCCAGGCAUUAUGGAUGCUUCCCAGUUGAUGCAGAUGAUUUUGUCUUUAUGGUGAUGACAAAAUAUCGUGUUGUGUGCUUUUUCUUCAGCAGUUAUCAUAAGACUAGCAGUAGAAUGGCAAAGCAGAUAAUCAGGAUCUCCCGGGUUUCCAGUUUUACAACACAAAUAAGACGAGUGGUAAGGAAUUUUUGAUUAUUUCAAGGAAAUUAUUGAGAUCACAGUCCGUGGAAUGUAGGACUGACAGGUCCACGAGGAAAUUAAAGUGAGGACAUGGUGAUCUGGCAUCACUUCCGAUCUGAAGGAACAGGAGGAAGAUUACCCUGAGCUAACAUCUGUGCCAGUCUUCCUCUCCUUUGUCCGUGGGAUGCCUCCACAGCGUGGCCGAUGAGUGGAGACGAGAGGAAAAGAAGUGAUGAUGGUCAAGUCUUCGCAGAGGAAGCUGCGUGAUCGUGGGAAUCAACCCAAACCAAAGCCCGGAUUAAGAAUUCCCAUCUCUUUGAGGAUGCGCAGUUACAUAUUCAGAAGGCCAGUUACUAGAAUGCCAUCCCACCCAGCAGUGAGGGGUCACUGGGAGAGCACGUGGCACCAGCCCCAACAGGUCUGCUGGCAGGAGAGAAGUGG